ACUCUCUGUCUGUCAGAAACAAAUGUUAAAAAAAAAAAAUUAACAAAAAAGAAAAAAAAAGAAAAGAAAGCUACCUAGAAACAAGUGUAAAAGAGGCAAGAUACAAACUUUUUAGAAAGUACCAAAUGCAUAAGGUGGAGGAAAAAAGCGACAAAGUUGCCUCCAUUACUAAAGUUCGAAUACGGAGGCAAUCAGAGAGAUUCCUUUUUAGCAGUGAAGGGCACAGAGAUUCCAGCAGAGUCCUGGGUACUUAUCUUCUGGAAGUUUGUAGCACCUUGUAAAGGGAGCUCUUCAGGAGGAUUCCUUUGGGACCUUUGACAUCAGGGAGCAUUGCCCCCUCCCCCAUCUUUGAUAUAGAAAUUUCAAAUGUCUAUAGAUAUCUAGAAUAUUCUAUAGAUAUACAGAAUUUAUACAGAUUUUCAUAGGCUUCUAUAAAAACAUAUCAGUAGAGUUUUAUAGAAGAUUUCCCCUUGCUGCCCUGUUGUUUAGAAAUGCGGGGCCCACGUAGAGGUGGAGUAGAUACACAUUAUACUGAGGCCCCCAGCCCCAGAAAGCCUAAGGCAUCCAAGUAUAGCUAUCAGUUCUUGAGGAUUUAUUAUCUGUCUGGUAGCACAGCUAGACAACUUAGAGAAUUAUCUAGCUCAGUCCUCAGAACAUUAUGAGAAAGGUUUUGUUAAGACUGGAGUUUUACAGGGAGGGCAAUUUAGCUAGCUCAGCUAAAUAAUUUAUCUGCAGUCCCCAGCUUGCAAGCGUUAGAGCUGGCACCACAGUCCAGGCCCUUGAACUCCAGAGCCCGUGCUCUUAACCCUGCUGGUCUGGCCUCCUGUCUGUCUGCACAGCUGCUGGGGGCUCAGCAUGUGCCCCGCCCCCAGAGAGUAAGACCACUUUCUUUGAAAGCAGCACUUUGUGUUGCUUUUUCUCUUUAAUCACCAGCUCUUGAGUGGACGGUAACAUGUGCACUUGUCAAAGGCUAUUAUGACAUAUCGGUGGGCAGUGACAUGUUGAUAGGUUUGCUGGACGCCUACUGCAUGUGCUGGCUAACUCCAAAAGGGCAGGAGCAUGAUUUUCUUGCAUCCUCCCUGGAUCACCUUGAGCGUGGCGCUUUACAGGACCAGCUUUUCAACAAAUGAAUAGCUCACAUACAGGAAGCCUUCCACUCCUGCUUAUCCUUUAAGACCUGGCUCAGCUCUUACCUCCUCCAGGAUGUCUUCUUGGACUCCCUGAUGCUCCUCAAUCAGAUUCCACAGGUCCAAUCUUGAUUCAAGAUCUCUAUCCAAAUAUAUAAAAGAAUCCCAAAUGAUCCUGAUGCAGGAGAAGAGCUGAGUGAUAGAAAAGACCAGAGAAGUUGGUAUUUUCCUGGAAAGGAGGAGGAGAGAAGACUUUUAAGACCAGCAGAACCUCUCUUCAUCUCAGGAAGCAUGCCACCCGUGCCUGCAAGGGUACAAGCAGAGACAUAUGAGUGCUUAGUUAAUUUUGACAACCUGGUGAUGGCUGUAGAACACUCUGGAGGCCGAAAGAGCCAUCUGUCAUGUGAGCUCAACAGCAAGCUAACCCCACCUGAUGGGAUGGGGCUGGAGGCAACAGAGGGCUGCCAAGCCUCCAGGCCCUUGGGAAGAAGCAUGCAUUGUCUCUCAAGAGGUUAGGAACCCCUUCUUUCCACUGGGCUUCCCCACAUUUAUCUCACACAACUCACCAAGCUGGAAUUUGACCUCUGCAGCCCUAAUCCCUUUUCCAUGUGAUUCUUCUGAGAUAUGGCUUCCACACAGCAUUCCCAAGGCCAAUCACGCUGUCCUGUGACUCUAACAAAGAAGCCCCAACAAGGAAAUCAAGGGAACUGUGUGAGAAACAUGGAGGGCCUCCAGAAGCCUGUACCAUCCAUGGGUCACAGGUGCAGUUAUCCAAAUGAAAAGACGUUUGGUGAAAAUCAAGGAGCAAUGUUCUGGUUGCACAUGGUAAAUCGCAUCUCUCCCCAAAGUCAGCCUGAAACUGUAGGACUCAUCCUGACCAACCUCCCAGAUUUCACCACAGCAGUGUUGGGAGUCUGCUUAGAAUCAUAAGAGUCAGUGACAAUUUAAAUAUUCUGCAUAUUUUGGCAGAGGGUGUAAUUAAUGCUGAUAUUAAUGGCAAAAGUAGAGAGAAAUGAGUGCUCUUUUCUUGUUAAAGGCAACCCAAGAACAUUUGUGAGGUAGAAUGGGUUAGGUGAAGAGAAUCAUUUAUUGAAUAUCUAGUUUUCUAGGAUGUUCAGAUUCUCCUGGAUUUCCAAAUAACUGCUUAUAACAGCUGGCAUUAGUACCCCACAUUAACUACUUCUUCCUUCCGAAAUUAGUUUUUGAAGAAUGGAAGUGAUGUUAGCUCUGUUCUUUGCAAUCACAAACAUCCCUAUACCAUAGUUCAUAUAGAAAGAGCUCAGCUUAAAAUUGAUAACAACCUGAAUACUUAAUUAUAUAACCAUGUUUUUAGAAUUAUUAUUUAAGAGAAUGGAAAAUUGCCCAGACAAGUGAAGAAAAAAAUGCCACAAUAAAUAAUGCAGUGUUGGAUUCUAAUACAAAGUAUAAAAGAAAUAUCUGAGUUUAUAGCAAUAUAAAUUAAUGAUUGAAUAAAACAAAUGAGGGAGAGUAGACAAAUCUCCCAUGUAGCAGUCCCAAUUAUUUAUGUAGACACUCUGCCCUCAAGGAGGUGUGCAUAGUUACUCCCUUUCAAAGUGUAUACAUGGAAAGGGAGAAAAGGUCACAGCAGAGAAAUCUGACAAAUACUACGUCAGCCAGGUGAUCUGGGCUGAUGUUCUAAGUGGCUCCAGUGUGCUACUUUUGCCAUAAACAAAUGACUUUUUUUAGAAAUAAGAAUUAGCAGUAACAGAAAUUGGCUAUUUAUCCCAUAAAAUUCUAUUUUGUAGGUAGAAUAGAUUUAUAAAAGAGUGUAAGGUUCAACAAUCGAUUAUGAUUGUAAACAGUUGCCAUGGGCAUUUUUAAUUCCUCAAAGUAUCUAGUGCAGGAAUUUGCAACAGAGUAAAUGAAAUGAUCAAUGAGUGUUUGUUUAAUUGGCUAAACAUACAACAGUUUUAUCGGUAGAAAUAGUAGUUAUCUUCUAAGUGAUAUAUCUUUCUAAAACACAUAUCAUAACAUUACGUUUCGUUGACAAUAAGACUCAAAUUGUUACCAUGACAUUCAAAAAGCCUUUAAAAGCUGGCCUAGCCUGGGUGGCGCAGUCGGUUAAGCGUCCGGCUUCAGCCAGGUCACGAUCUCGCGGUCCGUGAG